rnacentral:rRNA from 1 species
UACGUAGGUGGCAAGCGUUGUCCGGAUUUACUGGGCGUAAAGGGCGUGCAGGCGGUUUGUUAAGUGCAGGGUGAAAGCUCCCGGCUCAACUGGGAGAGGUCCUUGCAUACUGGCAAACUCGAGGGAGGCAGAGGAAAGUGGAAUUCCUGGUGUAGCGGUGAAAUGCGCAGAUAUCAGGAAGAACACCUAUGGCGAAGGCAGCACUCUGGGACGGUACUGACGCUGAGACGCGAAAGCGUGGGGAGCGAACAGG